rnacentral:misc_RNA from 1 species
GAAAAAUGCAUGCCGCAAUAUUACUGCAUACCAGUUUCUGAUCACACUGUAUGGUCGUGUUGGAACUUUGCUUGAAGUAUAUCGUGUAUGGCGUUCUUUGAGGCUUGCUUUUCCCAGAACAGCAAACAUAAGCUAUCUUAACAUGAUCCAAGUUUUAGUAAAUUUGAAUGACUUACCAGGUGCUGAGAAAUGUUUCAAGGAAUGGGAGUCUGGAUGCCCAACUUAUGACAUACGUAUAGCAAAUGUUC